GUAAUAUGAUAGUGGGAAUUUUUGUGGAUUGGAACGCAAGCAGGACUCUCUGUGAUGUAUGAUGAUAGACAAGGGGAGGACUGCACAGAGGUCAAUCUGUGUUGCCUCCAUAUUUAAAAGCACCAUUAGGAGUUCCUUGGCACCGCCCAGAGUUCUCCAUCUUGGGUCCCCAUUUUGUAUAGUUAGGCACACUUUCCUUGGUGUUAAAAUCAAGGAUUGAUGACCUAAUUGAAGGUUAAGGUUGUAUUUAAAUUUGUCAGUACGUUUGUUAUUUAAGGACAGACUCCUCGUCCCCUUCCUCUCUUCGAGAGACUUAACACCGGCUAACGCUGGAGAGGUAGUAACUAGCUUUUGUUGGAGGCUGUGCAGCUGGGACGAAAGAUCAUCUAGUCUUUUGAAUAUACAGUGCAAAGUUUUGAUUAUUAAAUGGGACUGUUCAAAUGUCAUAUAAUUGGCUGUGCCAAGGACCAGUUCCUCCUUCUGAGGAGAGGCUACACUCUUACUGUUGCCCACAUUGCUUGUUAAUUGAGGUAUUAUUCGCUCUUCGUCUUUAAGUGCUGACACGCAAUCAAUCAGAGGGUUAAAUCGGUUCUGAGUUUCUACCGUGUAGGAACAAUCCAGUAGAUUACUCCCUUCCUUAAAGUGACAUGGUUCCACCCUUGUUUGCUUUGAUCUCGGAAAGGGAAUGGGGACUGUCUCCUCCGAAUCUCUAAGACGUUUCCCAUAUCCCAUAAUUCAGAUAUCGAGUAGAGGGGGGAUAGUAUUUUAACGUCAACUAAAUAUUUCCUUCAAGCCUGCCAGCACUUGCAGUGGGGGUAUAUUUCACUGCCUGUUCAUAUGUAAGUCGGCGUCUUCACCUUCACCCUCACAGUCCGGCAAUUUAGUUCGACAAGGAGACUACCGAUAAGCAACACAGACCAUUCCUUUGAAGUCCUACUCCCACCAGGACUAAGACUAAUAUAAAAUUCUCCUUCGGAGCUUAUCACAGGGCCCACCGUGGGUCGGUCUCAGAUAAAAGGGAAACUCCCGAAGGCCUCACCAGAUCCCAGAGAGAGAGGAGACUCCAAGAAGGCAGCGUAAGGAUCCACCCCGAUGCUUCAGUUUCAGCCGCUCCUUGUUUCUCGGCGUUUUCCUCCCCCUCCUCCUUUUUCUAGACUUUUAACUUGAGCUUUUAACUCAAGCCUUGAAUAUAUUAGUUAAAAAACAGCUGCCAAAUGUUGUAGAUAAAAUACUAAGGCUGAUAAAAGCCGAAUAAAAACUGAUAAAACCAAUAAAAACUAAUAAAAACCGCACAACUGCUGCGGAGCUCAAGUCAGUGCCUCCACCAACAACGCCAUCUUG